rnacentral:rRNA from 1 species
CCUACGGGAGGCAGCAGUGGGGAAUUUUGGACAAUGGGGGCAACCCUGAUCCAGCCAUACCGCGUGUGUGAAGAAGGCCUUCGGGUUGUAAAGCACUUUCGGACGGAACGAAAUCGCGCGAUCUAAUAAGUCGCGUGGAUGACGGUACCGUAAGAAGAAGCACCGGCUAACUACGUGCCAGCAGCCGCGGUAAUACGUAGGGUGCGAGCGUUAAUCGGAAUUACUGGGCGUAAAGUGUGCGCAGGCGGCCGCGCAAGUCGAGUGUGAAAGCCCCGGGCUUAACUUGGGAAUUGCGCUCGAAACUACGUGGCUGGAGUAUGGCAGAGGAAGGUGGAAUUCCACGUGUAGCGGUGAAAUGCGUAGAGAUGUGGAGGAAC